rnacentral:rRNA from 1 species
GAUGAACGCUGGCGGCGUGCUUAACACAUGCAAGUCGAACGAUGAAGCCCAGCUUGCUGGGUGGAUUAGUUGCGAACGGGUGAGUAACACGUGAGUAACCUGCCCUUGACUCUGGGAUAAGCCUGGGAAACUGGGUCUAAUACUGGAUAUGACUUCUCAUCGCAUGGUUGGUGGUGGAAAGAUUUAUUGGUCUUGGAUGGACUCGCGGCCUAUCAGCUUGUUGGUGAGGUAAUGGCUCACCAAGGCGACGACGGGUAGCCGGCCUGGGAGGGUGAACGGCCACACUGGGACUGAGACACGGACCAGACGGAUAAGGGAGGCAGAAGGGGGGAAUAUGGCACAAUGGGCGCAAGCCUGAUGCAGCGACGCCGCGUGAGGGAUGACGGCCUUCGGGGUGUAAACCUAUUUCAGUAGGGAAGAAGAGAGAGUGACGGUACCUGCAGAAGAAGCGCCGGCUAACUACGUG